UGCAAGUCGAGCGAAGCACUUUGCUUAGAUUCUUCGGAUGAAGAGGAUUGUGACUGAGCGGCGGACGGGUGAGUAACGCGUGGGUAACCUGCCUCGUACAGGGGGAUAACAGUUAGAAAUGACUGCUAAUACCGCAUAAGACCACAGCACCGCAUGGUGCAGGGGUAAAAACUCCGGUGGUAUGAGAUGGACCCGCGUCUGAUUAGCUAGUUGGUAAGGUAACGGCUUACCAAGGCGACGAUCAGUAGCCGACCUGAGAGGGUGACCGGCCACAUUGGGACUGAGACACGGCCCAAACUCCUACGGGAGGCAGCAGUGGGGAAUAUUGCACAAUGGGGGAAACCCUGAUGCAGCGACGCCGCGUGAGCGAAGAAGUAUUUCGGUAUGUAAAGCUCUAUCAGCAGGGAAGAAAAUGACGGUACCUGACUAAGAAGCACCGGCUAAAUACGUGCCAGCAGCCGCGGUAAUACGUAUGGUGCAAGCGUUAUCCGGAUUUACUGGGUGUAAAGGGAGUGUAGACGGAUGGGCAAGUCUGAUGUGAAAACCCGGGGCUCAACCCCGGGACUGCAUUGGAAACUGUUCAUCUAGAGUGCUGGAGAGGUAAGUGGAAUUCCUAGUGUAGCGGUGAAAUGCGUAGAUAUU
rnacentral:rRNA from 1 species